rnacentral:rRNA from 1 species
GGGUUGUGAGGUUAAGCGACUAAGCGUACACGGUGGAUGCCCUGGCAGUCAGAGGCGAUGAAGGACGUGCUAAUCUGCGAAAAGCGYCGGUAAGGUGAUAUGAACCGUUAUAACCGGCGAUGUCCGAAUGGGGAAACCCAGUGYRAUUCGUCACACUAUCGUUAGCUGAAUACAUAGGCUAACGAGGCGAACCGGGGGAACUGAAACAUCUCAGUACCCCGAGGAAAAGAAAUCAACCGAGAUUCCCCCAGUAGCGGCGAGCGAACGGGGAGGAGCCCGGAGUCUGAAUCAGCAUGUGUGUUAGUGGAAGCGUCUGGAAAGGCGCACGGUACAGGGUGAAAGUCCCGUACACAAAAAUGCAGGUGCUGUGAACUCGAAGAGUAGGGCGGGACACGUGUUAUCCUGUCUGAAUAUGGGGGGACCAUCCUCCAAGGCUAAAUACUCCUGACUGACCGAUAGUGAACCAGUACCGUGAGGGAAAGGCGAAAAGAACCCCGGCGAGGGGAGUGAAAAAGAACCUGAAACCGUGUACGUACAAGCAGUGGGAGCCCCACCACCAAAGCAUUCUCUGGUGUUGAAGGCCCUGCAGAGCAGCAUCGCGGUGGCGGAGCGUCGUAUGCGACGCCCAACACACAAAACAAGCGGUGAAUGCUUUGGGGUGGGGUGACUGCGUACCUUUUGUAUAAUGGGUCAGCGACUUAUAUUCUGUAGCAAGGUUAACCGUAUAGGGGAGCCGAAGGGAAACCGAGUCUUAACCGGGCGUUAAGUUGCAGGGUAUAGACCCGAAACCCGGUGAUCUAGCCAUGGGCAGGUUGAAGGUUGGGUAACACUAACUGGAGGACCGAACCGACUAAUGUUGAAAAAUUAGCGGAUGACCUGUGGCUGGGGGUGAAAGGCCAAUCAAACCGGGAGAUAGCUGGUUCUCCCCGAAAGCUAUUUAGGUAGCGCCUCGUGAAUUCAUCUCCGGGGGUAGAGCACUGUUUCGGCYAGGGGGCCAUCCCGGCUUACCAACCCGAUGCAAACUGCGAAUACCGGAGAAUGUUAUCACGGGAGACACACGGCGGGUGCUAACGUCCGUCGUGAAGAGGGAAACAACCCAGACCGCCAGCUAAGGUCCCAAAGUCAUGGUUAAGUGGGAAACGAUGUGGGAAGGCCCAGACAGCCAGGAUGUUGGCUUAGAAGCAGCCAUCAUUUAAAGAAAGCGUAAUAGCUCACUGGUCGAGUCGGCCUGCGCGGAAGAUGUAACGGGGCUAAACCAUGCACCGAAGCUGCGGCAGCGACACGKAUVHSUUCGUUGGGUAGGGGAGCGUUCUGUAAGCCGUWGAAGGUGKSCUGUGAGGSHUGCUGGAGGUAUCAGAAGUGCGAAUGCUGACAUAAGUAACGAUAAAGCGGGUGAAAAGCCCGCUCGCCGGAAGACCAAGGGUUCCUGUCCAACGUUAAUCGGGGCAGGGUGAGUCGACCCCUAAGGCGAGGCCGAAAGGCGUAGUCGAUGGGAAACAGGUUAAUAUUCCUGUACUUGGUGUUACUGCGAAGGGGGGACGGAGAAGGCUAUGUCGGCCGGGCGACGGUUGUCCCGGUUUAAGCRUGCAGGUGUGUGCUCCAGGCAAAUCCGGUGCACUUUAACACUGAGGCGUGAUGACGAGGCACUACGGUGCUG